rnacentral:rRNA from 1 species
UACGGAGGGUGCAAGCGUUAUCCGGAUUUAUUGGGUUUAAAGGGUCCGUAGGCUGAUGUGUAAGUCAGUGGUGAAAUCUCACAGCUUAACUGUGAAACUGCCAUUGAUACUGCAUGUCUUGAGUGUUGUUGAAGUAGCUGGAAUAAGUAGUGUAGCGGUGAAAUGCAUAGAUAUUACUUAGAACACCAAUUGCGAAGGCAGGUUACUAAGCAACAACUGACGCUGAUGGACGAAAGCGUGGGGAGCGAACAGGAUUAGAUACCCUGGUAGUCCACGCCGUAAACGAUGCUAACUCGUUUUUGGGUUUUCGGAUUCAGAGACUAAGCGAAAGUGAUAAGUUAGCCACCUGGGGAGUACGAACGCAAGUUUGAA